AGCCCAUGUAGAUCCGCCCUGCGCCGGCGUCGUCUGCCGAGCUGCUGGCUGCCGCAGUUGCCGUCUCGCCGUCGAGAUGUGCGGCGAACGGCACCAUCCCCAGCCACUGCAUGCUUCGCGCCUCGCCAUCUCAUACGGUGCGAUCGCAGCUGGUGCCGUCGCAUGAGGAAAUCUCCGCGCCCUGAGGCACCGCCGGCUCGGAGCCGGUGAUUACGGCGGCAGAUGGGGAGGACUGCAGCACUAAUCCAAUCUUGCGCCUCCAGUGGCGUAAACCCUUGGGCACGCACCCCCUGCUCUAGCCUUUGCCUUGGUAGAAUCGAAUAAGCAGCCGGCAUUCAAGGAACCGUCCCUUCCGUCGCUUCUGUUAGCGCAUACCGUAGAAGAUAUAAGGACAUAUGUCAAAUUUUACAUGAAGUGACCGGAUUACCCCUGGCUAAAGAGAAAGGGGCGAACAGACCCCGAACUGUCCCCGCUGUCUUCCCUGCCAUGUUCCCCAUCGAAGCCUAGAUCGGGAUGCCUGCUGGCGGACGCACGGCGGCCGCCGGAAGCAGGGGCGCGGCGGCGGCCGGACCGGCAGCUCCGGGGAGGGGCACGGCGGUCGGGGUGGAGCACGGCUCAGGGGAGUAUUCGCGCGGUGGAGCUUGCGCGCCGAGAAACGGCGGCGCGAGCGACUCCAGCGGAGCGAGGGGCUGCAACCGUGAUCAAGCGAUAUGCAAGGCCGAGGCGAAGCUGUGGGUGCGAGCAAUUGGACGGAGACGGCUUGACGGUGGUGAAUUUUGCCGGCGAACGGGACGGACGGCGAUGGAGCAGACAGAGGAAAAGAGAGGGACGGCAGCCAGCGUCGGGCUUCUAUAGCAGCAGGCAACGAACUCCAGCACGCCAGCGUCUAUGUGGAUCCUGUCUAGUCUAUUUAGUAUCCUAAAUGUAUCUCUCAACUUUUUGUAUGCAUGUGUGAUAUUAGUGUGCUCUUAGUCUUUGUUCUCAGUAAUUUGCUCAAGCAUGUCUCUGUGUCAUGUAAUGAUGAUGCCCCUGAAUUCAAAAAUAUAAUUGCCGUGCACAGUUAUUUGCUAGAAAUAAGGUCAAUAUAUUCAAAAUAUUAUAACUAA